rnacentral:rRNA from 1 species
AUACGGAGGGUGCAAGCGUUAUUCGGAAUCACUGGGCGUAAAGGACGCGUAGGCGGGUUGGCAAGUCAGAUGUGAAAUCCUACAGCUUAACUGUAGAACUGCAUUUGAAACUGCUAACCUAGAGUAUGGGAGGGGGAGAUGGAAUUAGUGGUGUAGGGGUAAAAUCCGUAGAUAUCACUAGGAAUACCGAAAGCGAAGGCGAUCUCCUGGAACAUAACUGACGCUAAGGCGUGAAAGCGUGGGGAGCAAACGGCAUUAGAAACCCCUGUAGUCC